AUUUGAAGACAUUAUCUUGCAAGAAAUUGAAGAAAACCCUAAAGAACAAGGGGAAUUUACUCUACGCACAGCUUACGACACCUUCCUAUGGAUUACAACUUCCGCCAUUGUGCUGACUAUGUUGGCUGGCAU
rnacentral:sRNA from 1 species